GCAUGAUGCGGCUCACCACAGUUAUCCUGCUCUGUGCUGUUGGGAGUGGAAGUUUUGAGAGUCCCAUUUCAUCAGACCAAACUGAGGUUUUUCAUGAGGAGGGUGCCAGUAUAACUUUGUCCUGUAGCUACUCAACUGCAGUUAGUUUAUAUUGGUACCGCCAAUAUCCCAGAUCAGCUCCUGAAUAUCUUUUAUCAAUUUUUCAAACCUCUGGACGGGUCCAGAAUGCAGAGAAUCUGGAUUCUCGGUUUUCAGCAGGACUGAAUGACAAGAAAAACCGUGUGGAUCUGAUCGUCUCCUCUGUCAAAGUGACAGAUUCUGCUCUGUACUACUGUGCUCUGGAGCCCACAGUGACAGGAAACCUUUACACACUGUACAAAAACUUGCCUAGAAAAUUCAUGAAAAACAUGUUCUCCUGGGCGCAUACCUUGUAA